GCCAGGCUGGCUCAGCAGGUAGAGUGUGGGACUCUUGAUCUCGGGGCUGUGAGUUCAAGCCCCAUGCUGGGCG
rnacentral:tRNA from 1 species